GGGAAAGUGGCUCAGUGGUAGAGUGCUUGCCUUGCAUGCAGGAGGCCCUGGGUUCGAUUCCUCAGCACCA
rnacentral:tRNA from 1 species